CUGAAAAGACCGAGUUGUUUGACUGUAAUGUUAAAACCAUUGAUUUUAAGUUAAGACUUGCGUUUAAUUUUGUAGUCCAAUCUUAUUAGGUAUGCAAGUGGGAACAAAUUAGUUGAAUAUGUAAAAUUUUCAUUUUACAGAAUUGAGAGGGUAAUAUAAUUGAUAUCAUCUAGUGAGAGUACACUAUCUCUUAGCCAUUGUGAUUUAUAAAAUCAAAGCCUCAGUUUUUGAGCAUAUAAAAUGGAGAUGGAUUCAAAAAUAUAUUCCUGUGAUUUAUAUCAAAGAAUGACCUGCCCAUGUUUUCCUCUAAGAAUUUUAUAGUAUCCAGUCUUACAAAAAGAAGAGGAAAAGAGUGGAGAAGGCAAGCCAGAUAAUUAACUAAUUUAGCUACAAGGUCUCUUCUGCUCACAUUCUACUGGCCAAAAUUAGUCACCUGAUCAAUUUAACUGCAAGAGAAGAUUGGAAUUGUAAAGGAACAUAGAUAUAAGUGAUUACCAACAGCAGUCUGUUAUGCCAGCCAAAGUCAUUAUUAGUACAAGACUUAGAUUUUUGAAAUUGCAGAUCAAGAUCACCAUGGCUUAAAUUUAAGAGUUGUGCUAUCUGACUCAAUAUCUCAUCAAAGUGUUUUUAUGCAGUGUGUUUUGAUGUUGUUAUGAUUAUUAAUACUGUCUUCUGAGAGCAAUUUUUUUGACUAGACAAACUUGAUAUUAAUCACUCACAAGUGAGCUGCAUAAAAAUGAAGCUGCAUCAACAUGAGUCUCAGAAAAUAUUAUGAGAUUGGAGUAAAACAAAAUGUGAGCAUAAAAAAGAACUAUAUGUUAUAAAAUAUCUAGAGAUCAGGUCAGACAUACUGAUACCUACUUGGGCAUGAGAGAGAAUACACACACUGCUUCAAAAUGCUAAGGUAUUUAAAACAGAUGUUGCAAUGAGAAUCCCUUAGGAAAUAUAACUUUCAUAUACAACAGAAUGGUAUGCAGUAACGAGCAUUGUCAUUUACAUCAGCCUGUCACCAACUGCACAAAAAGUUUUUAUGAAGAUUAAAAACAUGCUGAAUCAGAAAAUGAAUCUCAAUACCCUUUAAAAGUCUGAACUCUUAAGGCAUAUAUUCUCCAGCCAAAAUGGAAUUAAAUUACAGGUCAAUAAAAGUAUCUAGAAAAUAUACAACUAUUUAUUCAGAAACUAAUAUCUAAGCUAUUCAAGAGACAAGGAAAAAACAGAAAACCAUCUGCAAGUGAAUAAUAAUAAUGAAAGGACAACACAUCAAAAUUUGUGAGAUGAAGGCAAAAAAUGAUUUAGGAGGAAAAUUUAUAGCUUUGCAUAUAAUUUUUAGGAAAGAAGACAAGUUUCAUCUAAAUAAUGAAAAAUACAUUAAACUCAAUGUGAUAAAAGGGAAAAAAUAAUAAAGAUGAGAAAAACCCAGUUAAAUAGAAAGUGUCCGGCAAUGCAAAUGUUUAAAGUCCCAAACUUUAGUUCUUUGAAAUUCAAAUAAAAUUCAUGAAACCAUAAGAACAUUAUUAAGAAAAAAAUUAUCAAUAACAAGGAAAAAUGUCACUACAGAAUCUACCAAACUAAGAUGAAUAUGGGUAAAUAUUACAAAUAAUAAUGCCAAUAAAGUUGUCAACUUAGACAAAAAUUGAAGAAAUUAUUUAAAAUGUAUAAUUAAUCAAAAUUGACAUGCCAGAAAUAGAAAACCUUAAUAGCCUUUCUUCUGUUAAAUGAAUUGUAUGUGAAUAAAGAUAUAUAUCCUCUAAAGAACAUUGCAAUUUUAAAGGGAUUCAUUGGUUAUAUCUAUUAUUUAAGGCAGAAAUAAUAAAUACCUUAGAAAUUCUGUCAUAAAACCACAAAGCCAAAGUCACUCAAGUUCAUUAUAGAAGGCCAUAGAGGCCUGGUACCAAAUCCUGCCAAAGAUAUUAAAAGAAAAAAACAAUUACACCUUUCAUUACUUUUGAGCAUACAUGGAAAUGUCAUUAACAAAAUAUCAAUAGAACAAAACCAACAAUUAAAA